rnacentral:rRNA from 1 species
UACGUAGGGGGCUAGCGUUGUCCGGAUUUAUUGGGCGUAAAGAGCGUGUAGGCGGCCAGGUAGGUCUGCUGUGAAAACUCGAGGCUCAACCUCGAGACGUCGGCGGAAACCAUCUGGCUAGAGUCCGGAAGAGGAGAGUGGAAUUCCUGGUGUAGCGGUGAAAUUCGUAGAUAUUCGGAAGAACACCAGUGGCGAAGGCGACUGACUGGACAAGUAUUGACGCUGAGGUGCGAAAGCGUGGGGAGCAAACAGG